ACGGAAGGCAGCAGUGAGGAAUAUUGGUCAAUGGACGGAAGUCUGAACCAGCCAAGUAGCGUGAGGGAUGACUGCCCUAUGGGUUGUAAACCUCUUUUGUCGGGGAAUAAAGUGUGCCAUGUAUGGUAUUUUGCAUGUACCCGUCGAAUAAGGAUCGGCUAACUCCGUGCCAGCAGCCGCGGUAAUACGGAGGAUCCGAGCGUUAUCCGGAUUUAUUGGGUUUAAAGGGAGCGUAGGCGGAAGGUCAAGUCAGCUGUGAAAUGUAGUCGCUCAACGUCUGCACUGCAGUUGAAACUGGCCUCCUUGAGUGCGUAAGAGGCGGGCGGAAUUCGUCGUGUAGCGGUGAAAUGCUUAGAUAUGACGAAGAACUCCGAUUGGGAAGCCAGCUUACUGUAGCGCCACUGACGCUGAUGCUCGAAAGCGUGGGUAUCGAACAGGAUUAGAUACCCUGGUA
rnacentral:rRNA from 1 species